GACGAACGCUGGCGGCGUGCCUAAUACAUGCAAGUAGAACGCUGAAGGAGGAGCUUGCUUCUCUGGAUGAGUUGCGAACGGGUGAGUAACGCGUAGGUAACCUGCCUUGUAGCGGGGGAUAACUAUUGGAAACGAUAGCUAAUACCGCAUAAUAUUGACUAUUGCAUGAUAGUGAGGUGAAAGGUGCAACUGCGCGAUUACCUCAUGGACUUUCGUGGUGUUAGCUAGUUGGUGGGGUAACGGCUCGCCAAGGCGGCGAUGGAUAGCCGACGUGUACGGGGGUAGGGCCACACUGAGAGUGUGAGACGGCCCAGACUCCUAGGGAAGGCAGCAGUAGGGACUCGUGGGAAAUGGGCGGAAGUCUGAACGAGCGACGCCGGGUGAGUGAAGAGGGGUUGCGGGUCGGAAAGCUCUGUUGUGAGAGAAGAACGAGUGCGAGAGUGGAAAGCUCACACUGUGACGGUACCUUAACAGAAAGGGACGGCUAACUACGUG
rnacentral:rRNA from 1 species